GUCAUCAGCUCUCCUAGCUCUUGCUCUGUGCCUAGUUGGAGGAAGGGAAAAUUUCACCUUCUUCAUCCUUUACAAAUUUGCAUUAGCAGGAGAAAAUAUUUGUAUGAGCGGUUCUUUGUGUUUAGAGAUUCUGGUAAAGAUUCUUGUUAUGAGUACCCUUGUUUUCUGUUGAUCCCUUUUGUUCCAGAGUCUGGUCAUUGUUUUCUGUUGUCUCUUUUGUCAUAAAGAGGAGAACGAUAGGCCAGAGGUUUUCCUUUCAUUUUUGUUUGUGUCUUGAGAGCUUGGCUUUUUGACCAGUGAGAAUACUUACCGUGGUUUCCACUAGAGGGAAGAUGCAAGUAUGGGUUUAUAUGUGGCAGCCAGUCAAAUACGGCUGGGGAUUCAAGACAGAAGUGAGAAGCGGCGUUCUAUCCCACUGUGCCAGCUAUCGGGGAGUUUGUCUUAGGGGUUCCCAGUCCAUAAGGGGCCUGUCGUCUCAACCUUCAUUGUCUCAGUGCCAGAACAGUCCCAUUCCAGUAGCAUGUGUCUGGUGUCACAGAUUAGCAGUUCUGGGACUAGAGGUGUCUCACGUUCUCAUGGGAAGCAAGAGACAUCCUUUCACUACAUUAUUCUUACUGCCUGUGACAAGGGAAGGUCUUUGGUUUCUUAUGCUAACCCAAAGAGUGAACUUCCUGGAUCUUUUAAGGACUGCAUCUUUUCCAACAAAGGGUUGGACACCUCUUGUCUGCCCAAAGGGGCACCUCUUGCAUCCACGGUUAAGCCAUAAAAAAAGCUCAUGUGUUUGAGUCCCUGUGGAGAUUAAUACAAGAUUCUACUCAUCAAUAGCCAGAUGAUGGAUCCUUUGAAUUGGAAAUACUUAAAUGUUUAAAAAAAAAUUUAGAGGUUUCUCGGUCUAAAUGGAUGUCUUAUGGUAUUUGUGGAAUGAUAAAUUGAAAAGAGGACAUGAAGGAAUAUAGCAUCCAUUUUUAAGGACUCUCUUAAGAUGAAGUUACAAAGCUCUUCUUAUCUCCACUUUCAGAAGAUUCUAUCAGAUUUAGAGAAGAAGUAGAUCAGGGGCCGUUCACAACUCUAUUCACAGGGACCUUGACUGGCUGCUCAGGGGUCUUCUUCCCACCCGUGUUUACGUUGUAACUGAUUCACAGUUAAAAUGUUAACGAUGAUAGGUAUAAGGUCUCUGUUUGUGUCUGUGUUUAUGUGUGUCGUAGAUACAUUUUUCUACCUCCAGAUGGUAUUGCCAAAAUUAAUUUGUAAACCAGCUCUACUUAAUUCACUCAGAGAGAACUGCUUAUAUGAAUUAAGCAUUUCUAGACUCAGAAGUAUAGAAACUAACCCAAAUGUUUUCCAAGUUCAUAUGAUCUAGAAAAAUAUUCAGUAAAAGAAAAAAAAAACUAGUUUAAUUUAGUUUAAUUGAAAUAGGUAUGCUUUCAAGAUUGUCAACUUUGGAUGUAAUGCAGACAUACAGCUUUUAUUCUACUGGGUUUAUUAGUCAAAUGAGUUCCUCUUAUUUCUGUUACAAAACCUGUCAGCAAAAUAACAGGAUGAUGGCCAUAAUGUCUCAUGAAAUAUUUAGAAGUAAUCUCAGCAUGAUUAAGAACAAGUGAAUUAAGUAAAUUUAAGUGGGAUUAAAGUUUAUGAAUGAAAUUUUCAAUAAUGAUGUUUUAUAACAUAUGUCUACUUUAAAAUAGCUUUCAAAAUCUUUUUGGUAAUUUUAAUCCAUAAAAUUUUCCUAAGUUAAAUGAUGGAAAUUCAUUGGAAUAUCUAAAUUUCCAAAUAUAAAAUACUGACACAUUACUGAAUGUAGGUUUAUCUACUUUUGGCUUAAUACAGAGAAACUAAACAUAUUUGGGUCUGUUAGUAAAUGUCUUGUGCCACAUUGAAAAAUUGUACUGUAAAGCAGCAUAUGCUUCUAGAAAUUAUGAAAUGUAUUCCUAAAUUUGCCAAACUACAGUUGAUAACUGCUGCUUAGUUUUAGAAAUUAAGGUUUCAGAGUGUUGGGAAUUAAAACUACUAGAAAUAGUAAGGAAAACCUCUCUGUAUGCAAGGAAAGUAAGAUGUGGUUUGGGUUAAGAAAAGGUAUGAGGUACAAAGAUGCAUUUCUGUUACAGGAAAGUGAAGUUGUGUUCUAGAGUAGAAUGAGUUGUUUCAGAAGAGGAAGAGAGUAAAGGAAAACUAAUUGGAUAUAGAAAGUUGGAAAGAGAAAACCUUGUGUAAUUAAGCUAAAAUGGAAUGAAUUCAUAAAUGUGUAAAGAUAAACUUGACUAUCAGUAGUAUAUUCGUGUAAAACUAAAGCUUGGUUUUCUUUCAUCUGCUAAAGGUGUAACUGAACCAACUUGAGUUUGCUUCUUGGCCAGUCACAGUGAACUCUCCCCAGAUCUUUAAUCAUGGCCAUUUUUAAAGUGUUUUGCCGUGUACAGAAGCUAUUGUUUUGCUUUUGCAAAACUCCUUCAUCUUCAGAGAGAUUCACAGAAAGGACUCCCGACAAGUACAGGUUUGUGGUAACUUUCAAAUCCUAUCACCGAACUUACAAAACUCUAUGGAAAAAGUGGAAUUAUAAAAGAUCAGGAUCAAUGAGAGUUACAUGGGACUGAAUGAACGGUUGAGGAUGAUUUUAAUUUUUAUGACUUUGUUUGAAAUGCUUAUUUCCAGGUUUAAGGAAACCUUUUUCUUUUAAGCUACCUAUGACUUACAGCAGUUUGGUAAAGUACAUAUUAAUGAACAAGAUGAAACAAGUACUUUUUCUCCCUACCUAAUCCCUUCAGAAUUUGGAAACUCAGCCAUUCUUAUUUUCAUGGUAAUACAGUUAUUUGUGUAAGUUCAAUAAGCAUCUGUUCUUGUAAGAGGAAUAGUUAGAAACAUUGGUUAUAUUUCCACGACUUUGAGUGGAAUGUCGUAUUUGCAAACGUCCACAGGAUCAGACGUGACUGUGCAGUUUUAGGAAGGUUAGGUUGACUUUAUGGAGUUAGCACAGGCCCCUUACAGGGUUCCAGGCAGCCUUACCAGGUGAGAAAGGGGACUUCCCGGCAGAUGCAGGGACCUUAGGAUAUCUGGGGGAUCUUAAGAGAGGAACUAACCCAAAUCCAUAAGUACUGUAGGCAAAAUGAGGGAAGAUCUUGGCUUUCUGACCUCAGUAGGCUCUUAAAAAGUCCAACCUGAGAUUCCUUACAGUAAGUUCCAAUAAAACACAUUUAAAAGAGUGUAUAUGGUCAGCCACUAUUCUUGUUAUUGUAAAUAAUCAGGCCAAGUGCAAUUUUAUUGUCCUUUGCUGGAGGUGGGGAUGAUUACAGAGAAAGAUGGUGCUUCAGCAGGAGCUGUGAUACACCCUUGUGGAUAGCAGAUUCUAGCUGUGUUGUCUGAGGUUUCUUUACCUGUAAAUGGAUUUAAUCCUGAAUUCUUCCAGUUUCCUUGCAUAAUCUAGCUAUAGACCUCUUCAAACUAACGUUCCCAAUUUUCCUCUACUCUUUUUUGACUUGGAAUCACUAAAAACAAACUGCAUAAAAUUCCUAGAAAUUUUAUAUGUCCUGCUGUAAUGUUCUCACUUAGAAUUCUAGGUAUCUUGAAAUGCGGGUCACAGAAGUAACCAGAUGUCCUUGUCAGCUGCAUUAUAGCGAACUCUCAUCAGAUCUUUAAUGACGGCCAUUUUUCAUGAUCUCCAAGGAACUACAGCACCGUUGACCCCUGGACACCGCAGGAGUUUGGGGUGAUCUCCUGGCACAGUCGAAACGUGCAUAUAACUUUUGACUCCCCAAAAACUUAACUACUAAUACCCUUCUGUUGACCAGUCUCACCAAUAACAAACAAUUAACAUACUUUGUAUGUGAUGGAUGUUAUAUACCAUAUUCUUACACUAAAGCUAGAGAAAAACUGUUACGAAGAAAAUCAUAAGGAAUAUACACUUUACCAUAUUUAUCAGGAAAAAAGCUCAUGGUUAAGCGGACCCGUGCAGUUCAAACGUGUGUCCUUCAAGGGUCAACUACACAUGAAGAAACAAUUCCUGUAAACCCAGUGAGUGGACACAACACAUAUCUGCACCCAGGAGGGUAAGUCUGGAGUGGAAUUCCUCUCCAAACACCUUGUGAUUUUUAGGAGAGGAGAAAAUGCCUAAUCUGUAACCAUACGGAGCUGAAGCACUGGUCCCUCGUGCCCCCUGAAUAAUCUUUUGAGCUUCUGGGGAAACAUCAUUAAAUAAUCCUGAGAUGAAUUUGGAGCUUGUUUUUCAUAUUGAUAACUUGAAGCCUUUGCUUUUUGGAAAAAAAAAAAAUGUCCCUCCUGGAAGAGCUGGGUGGCAGCCAAGACUGCUAUUCUUUGCACAACGACACCAGUAAAUGGGUUAAUCCUCCACUAAUUAGCUAAUGUAACUCUGCUCCUCAGAGAAAAGCCUGCUCUCAAGAAAUACAAGGUAUGAUUUGUUCAUAGUUACUCCCUAAGCCUGGACAGAACUCUUUUCUGGUUUACUACCAUGACCUAGAAGGAAGAGACACUCUUCUAUGAGGUCAGGAUGUCUCGUGCAAGGCUGCGGAAAAGACAAGGGGAGGACAAUGGCACCCCACAGAACACAGCCCCACCUCGCAGAGAAGUGACAGCGACAGCUCUCUCCACUCUCUGGGCAGAUGUCAAUGCAGGUCCCUGCAGCUAGCACCAGGGCAGCUCUGCAGAGGACGUGGAAUGCCUGGCCGGGGUGGGUCAGAGCAGCUCUAAGCAUCAGACCCCCUCCGCACCCCAGCUCAGUUUGCGACCUAAUUUGGGAGCACUGUGGAGAGAGAUUGGGAAGCCUGCUCCCAGAUAUUUAUUAGAACGAGCAUUGCUCAACUUUGGCUGUGCAUGAGCACCUCUGAGGGGCUUGGAAAAGAUGCCCCGACUCGAACCCAAGAACUAUGGAUCUCUACUCUGAGGUCCAGAAGACAGUCUUUUUAAAAAAAUCUCUGCAGGGGAUUGCAUUAUGCAGGCAAGGCUGGGGAUCCAUGCACAAGCAUCCACGUAGGCUCCACCCUUAGCACCCCCGAGAUUAGCUCCCAGGCUCAGCCCACACCCACCCCAACUAAAUCAGAAUCUCGAGCUGGACCCACGUGCCAGGUUCCUCCUAAAGAUCCCCAGGGAAUUCCAGUGUGCAUCCACCUCAGAGAACCAGGUUUCCAGGCCAGUGAUUCUUCAACUUUCCAAUGUAUUUGAGUUACCUGGAAUCUUGUUAAAGUACA